rnacentral:rRNA from 1 species
GACGAACGCUGGCGGCGUGCCUAAUACAUGCAAGUCGAGCGAGCAGCGGACGGGUGAGUAAUGCCUAGGAAUCUGCCUGGUAGUGGUGGAUAACGUCCGGAAACGGGCGCUAAUACCGCAUACCAUCAGAUGUGCCCAGAUGGGAUUAGCUUGUUGGUGGGGUAACGGCUCACCAUGGCGACGAUCCGUAGCUGGUCUGAGAGGAUGACCAGCCACGCUGGAACUGGGACACGGUCCAGACUCCAACGGGAGGCAGCGGUGGGGAAUGUUGCACAAUGGGGGAAAGCCUGAUGUUGCCAUGCCGCGUGUAUGAAGAGGGCCUUCGGGUGUUAAGGUACUUUCAGCGGGGAGGCGUUACCCGCAGAAGAAGCACCGGCUAACUCCGUGCCAGCAGCCGCGGUAAUAC